rnacentral:tRNA from 1 species
GGGCCCGUAGUCCAGUGGUAGGAUUUUGGCCUCGCUAGCCAAAGAUCCCGGGUUCGAAUCCCGGCGGGUCCA